ACAGGGCAACAUCAAACAGAAGGAAACAGAAGACAGAAGACCCAGAGCAACAGGAAUGUGCCUUUGAAGCCCUAAGCUGCCAUAUAUAUGGCUACUGUGAACACGCUGGCUACUGUGCUACAAAGAUCACACGGAGAGAACAGAUACAGAGAAACAGAGAGAGAUUCCUGGGGAACCCUAGCUGCUUCAGUUCCUAGCUUUUGAGGCAUCCCAAACCAGAGGCCAGAUGCGUGAAUGAAUGAGCUCUUGGAUGAUGGCAGCUGCAACCUUUUAGUCUUCUAGCUGAGGCCCCACACACUGUAAAACAGAGAGAAAAAAAAACCCAGUGUCUUGUCUGAAUUUCUGAAACACGAAAUUUAUGAGCAUAAUAAAUGGUUGUUUUACACCA
rnacentral:lncRNA from 1 species